GACGAACGCUGGCGGCGUGCUUAACACAUGCAAGUCGAACGGAAAGGCCCUGCUUUUGUGGGGUGCUCGAGUGGCGAACGGGUGAGUAACACGUGAGUAACCUGCCCUUGACUUUGGGAUAACUUCAGGAAACUGGGGCUAAUACCGGAUAGGAGCUCCUGCUGCAUGGUGGGGGUUGGAAAGUUUCGGCGGUUGGGGAUGGACUCGCGGCUUAUCAGCUUGUUGGUGGGGUAGUGGCUUACCAAGGGUUUGACGGAUAGCCGGCCUGAGAGGGUGACCGGCCACAUUGGGACUGAGAGACGGCCCAGACUCCUACGGGAGGCAGCAGUGGGGAAUAUUGCACAAUGGGCGGAAGCCUGAUGCAGCAACGCCGCGUGCGGGAUGACGGCCUUCGGGUUGUAAACCGCUUUCGCCUGUGACGAAGCGUUAGUGACGGUAAUGGGUAAAGAAGCACCGGCUAACUACGUG
rnacentral:rRNA from 1 species